rnacentral:rRNA from 1 species
AUGCGGGUGCUUCACCAGGCUGUGAUUUCUUUCCGGAACAAGAGUGGGGCUCAGAUCAUCAUUUGGUUUUCUUACUGGCUUAGUACAAAAAGGUAUGGCAUAUUUGAUACUACUGCGCAGCUGCCACAGGCGGUUUACGGAGAUCUUGCAAUAAUUGUGGUUAAUUGCCAUGUAUGGUAUGUACAUGGAACAGGGAUACAAUGUCGCAAACACACACACAACAAAUCUGGCGCGCCUUUGAUGAAGAUUAAGGGAUCCACACCGUUAGUGAGUUUGAGGCACCAGAGAACUGAUGUAAUGCAAUUCUGUGAUGUUGGUGUGUUGUUAUCACUGGUUAGGCUGCUUUCAUGUAUUAUUAUCAGUUUGUCGCUACUAUCAGUCUUCAAAGUUGCAUGUAAAUUUACGAUGGAAGAUGGACCUCUGUAA